AGUGAAGAAGGCCAGGAAGAGCAGAGGAUGGUGCCAGGAGGAUGAUGUCGGGGGACACAGGCAGCUCAUGCCUGGAUCAGGCAGUGACUGGUAACAGAAGGAGAGUCCAUGCUGGUGGGCCCAGGGGAACAUAGGUGGUCAAGCAGGGCAGUACUUGGUGUCUGGGGAUGCAGUGUGCGACCUCCUGUAUUCGGUGCGAGGCACAUGGGGCCAGCAGGAGCUGGUGUGAGCCCGGGUCUGAAGGGUGGUGGGAUCUUAGUGGGGAAGACUGGGAAGACAGCAGGGAGGAAGAACUCAGGCUGGAGGAGGAUGGGGGCCUGGGAGGAUCCCUGCCACACUGUUAGGAAGCCAGGGAGCUUGGGUGGUGGUAGGAUGGGAAGAGGGCAGGGAAACGGGGGGAGGGUGACACAGGCCCUCCGGCAGCAGCGGCUUGGCCACUGGCGCUGAGAUUGGUAUGAGUGACUCAGUGCCAGGUUGCGCCACAGAAAGCUGAGGCUGCGGAUCCUUCUCCUGCCUCUGGUAGGGCCGUCUUAAAGGCAGGGUGAGUGAGCCUGGCUCCAAGAGGCUGGGUCCGCAGGCAGGGGCUGACGUGGGCUGGCCCAAGCCCCAGCUCUCCUCACUCUGAGUGCUUCUAUGCUUUCUCACCUCCACGCUUCCAAUCAUGUUAUUUUCCUCUUAUUAAAAUGCCUCCUUCCACGUCCACUUGGCAAACUCCUACGCACCCUUUAAGGCCGGGCACAAAUGUCUCCACAGGGUUAUGCGCCCCAGCCCUGUUAGUGACGGCCUUCCAGCUAGACAAGAUUUUCAUCUUUAUACUGCCCUUCCCCAGGAAAGGGACAUCACAGACACUCAGCUAUUUAUUUGCUGGAGGUGUUUGUUGAAUUUUUCUGGUAGUUUCAGAUUACACCUAUUUAAAUAUUAGUUUUCAGAGAAGAGAAAUAUUUUUGUAAAGUUAUUCCUAGAACAUCAAUGUCUGUGAAGGAAGUUCUAUUUUCCUGUUAAUCUUUCAUAAUAAAAUUGGAAAUGCUUUCUCCUGGAGGAGAGAUGAUCCCAACGCAAGAACAAAUCAGUAAGCAAGAGUAAAACAUGUUUUCCAAUAAAACAAAGAGUAAUAGUUGAAAUAGGCCAAACGCACAUAUAUUAUGCUGCAAUUUAAGCUUUCAUAAAGUAAAUUAAACAAGCCUAGAGGCUGAAUUCUUGUGAAUUGGUGAUGUUUCUGUAAACUGAAUGAUGUUAUCAGCCUGUGGUUAUACAGUUCCCCUCAGAAAAAUGUUCACUAAAAAAAAUCACAAGUGUUUAGAAGUUAAAGGGGUUUACAUUAUGUGUUCAUUUUUAAUGAACUAUUUGCCCAGUAGCUACAGCUGAACCAGUUAUAUGCCUUCAGCUUAGACUUUUUUUUUUUUUUUUUUGAGAUGAGUCUUGCUCUGUGGCCCAGGCUAGAGUGCAAUGGCUCGAUCUCAGCUCACUGCAACCUCCACCUUCCGGGUUCAGGCAAUUCUCCUGCCUCAGCCUCCUGAGUAGCUGGGAUUACAGGCAUGUGUUGCCAUGCCUGGCUAAUUUUUGUAUUUUUAGUAGAGAUGGGGUUUCACCAUGUUGGCCAGGCUGGUCUCGAACUCCUGACCUUGUGAUCCACCUGCCUUGGCUUAACAAAAUGUUGAGAUUACAGGCAUGAGCCAGCAUGCCCAGCCCAGCUUAGAUUUUUAGACACUAUCUUAAAGACCUUGCACUGCUAUUCCCUACGUCCCCGCAACCCCCACUGGAAAGACGUCAGGUGUUGUCAAACAGAUCUAUUCUCAAAAUUAUUUUUUUCUGUGUGUAUUGCCUCGUACUGGCUUAAGAUAACACACUGGCUUAAGAUAACACAUCUUGUGUGUGUGUUAAGGUAACACACACACAAGAUCCAGUGCUGACAUUAUUAGGAUCUGAGCCUGGGACAUGGCUGCUGAAAAAAAAAAUCUUUAUAGAGAAUAUCGAUGGUAAAUGAACCAAUAGCAAAUUGAAGUCCUGUUUUCAUCAAUGAUAAUUGAGUUUUUAAAAACAAUCAUCUAUGAUGAUUCCUAAACUCAUGUUUCUUAGUGAACAGACAGAUACGUUGGACAGAGAUAAACUAUAUAUUUAAUUUUAAUUUUUUUUUUUUGGUAGAAACAGGAUCUUGCUGUUGCUCAGGCUGGUCUUGAAUUCCUAGGCUCAAGUGAUCCUCCUGCCUUGGCCUCCCAAGGUGCUGGGGUUACAGGUAUAAGCCACAGUGCCCAGCCUAGAUUUUAUUUUUAAGCUCUUGCCUUUAAUGGCAAUACAUACUAUGAAUGCUUAGUACUCACUAACUUCUGAAUUAAUGAUUAAAUAUAAAGAAGAGUUUUAGAGGAAUCACAGAUUUAUGUUUUGUGAUGGGCCUGGGGACAGAAGCGUGAAUGUCAGUGCUGUCCCUUAGGACUUGGCGAGACUGUGAGCAAGUUGUUCAGCCUCUUUGAGCCUUGGUUUCCUUGUUUAGAAAAUGAGAAAAAAAAAUUGUCUUCCUCAACUUCAGGGGAUUUGUGUAAGAAUCAAAUGAGAUCAUCUAUAUGAAAGUGUUUUAUAACUGCAUAUUGUUAUACAAGUAAUUAUGACUUAGAAACUUACUGAUUUUGUGAUCUUAAGAUGAUUGCAUCAUGUAUGAGUGCUAUAUAAUAAGGAGUCUAGUUGUUUGAACAUGGGUAGGUGCACACACCACACACACACACACACACACACACACACACACACACACACACAAGAUCCAGUGCUGACAUUAUUAGGAUCUGAGCCUGGGACAUGGCUGGUGAAAAAAAAAUCUUUAUAGAGAAUAUCGAUGGUAAAUGAACCAAUAGCAAAUUGGAGUCCUGUUUUCAUCAAUGAAAACUGAGUUUUUAAAAACAACUUAAUUGCCUUCUAAAAAUAGCUAAUCUGAAUUCCUCCUAACCAUCAUUGUAUACUUGGGAGUUUCCAGAAUAUUUUUGAGUUUUGCUGCAGCACAGAAGCAAUAGAAGUGGAAAAUAAAAAUGGAAAUUAAAAAUGAAAGAGAGAAUUUGUUUAAUUCAGGCUUUCUAAAAUGUUAGUUUUUAAAACUAAAGCCAGAGUUAGUGGUGUAUCUAUAUAAUAUAUACAUUAUAUAUUAUAUAUACAUUAUAUAUAUAAUAUAUAAUGUAUAUAUAAUAUAAUAUAAUAUAAUGUAUACAAUAUAAUGUAUAUAUUUUAUAUAUAAUAUAUAACAUACAAUAUAUACAUUAUAUAUUACAUAUAAUUUAUAUAUAAUAUAUAACGUACAAUAUAUACAUUAUAUAUUACAUAUACUUUAUAUAUAAUUUAGAUAUACAUGUAUAUACUUUUAACUCACAUAAACUUAUUUGAUUGCAAAACUCCACCCUCUUCCCCUAGUCUCCACUGGCUUUCAUAAAGUGCAGUUUGAACUACUGCAAUCAAUUGGACUUGGAAUCCUUUUCAUAUCCAAAAAUCUCAUUUUUAGGCCUCAAAUUGGACAUAAUUGUACAUCUGUGUUCAAGCGUUAUGUAAACUCCCGUCUGCAGAGCAAAGUCUAUUAGGGAACCUAGUGCACUUUCUUGAGAAAAUGGAGAGACAUCGCCACCUGCUGGACAAAGGUUAUUAAUUCAUUAAUUUAGUGUUCUGAAGUACGUAAUUCUGCACAUGGAAAACAGUUUUUCAAGAGCUGAAUCUUAGGAAUCUUACUUAAAAAAACUCUAUUAUCAUUCUAUGUCUAUUAAAUAACAUGGAAUAUAACAGUCAGCAAAAUUCAAUAUUCAGCAUAAGUUAAGGGUAGUUGGCCCCAAUAACGUCUCAACAGUGGGUUUCAUUUAGUGAAAAGUCUUAGCUCCCUAAUAUUUCUGGUAAGAGUUCAGGCAUAAAAACCUCAUUAACUUGGAUUAUGUGUGUCUUCCAGCCCCUUAGCAUGUCACUGUAGUAAUAUUUCCACUUAACUUAUUCCUUGCAAUUGUUUCUGGAACAGGCUAUUGACUGGAAUAUAAUUGUUCGUUCCUCUCUGCCCAAGUCAGUAAUACAGAAAUAUUGUUUCUUAAAGGCAUGAGAUUUCCUUGUAAUGUAUCAGCUGUAACUGGUGAAACAGGUCAAGGAUAAUCAUUUCCUUCAUUUGUUCCUUCCAAUUUUUUCCUCUUUCUUUCACCUAGAAGUUACAAAGAGAACCUCCAGUCCAGUUUCUCUCAGGGACAGCCCUGUCUCUCCUGUGAUGGGCUUGGUGGGCAGGCUAAUUACUGAACACUCACCAUAUAGUAAGGCUGGGCUAAGGACUCUACAUGGAUUGAUCAUGCAAGACUCACAAGAACCUAUGAAGUACAUAAGAUUAUUUAUGCAUCUUAUCCAGAUGGGGAAACUGAGGCUUAGAGGGGCUAUACCUUGCCUCUGGUUAUGCAGUUAAGUGGAGGAGGGGGUCUAGCAUGCGGGCUAUCUAUCUCAGAGCCUGUGCUCUAAUCAUUAUGACAUACUAGGCCGGGCGCGGUGGAUCACGCCAGUAAUCCCAGCACUUUCGGAGGCCGAGGCAGGUGGCUCACCUGAGGUCAGGAGUUCAAGACCAGCCUGAUGAACAUGGUGAAAUCCCGUCUCUACCAAAAAUACAAAAAUUAGCUGGGCAUGGUAGUGGGAGCCUGUAAUCCCAGCUGCUUGGGAAGCUGAGGCAGGAGAAUGGCCUGAACCCAGGAGGCAGAGGUUGCAGUGAGCCGAGAUCGUGCCAUUGCAUUCCAGCCUGGACAACAAAAGUGAAACUCUGUCUCAAAAAAAAAAAAAAAAAGAUGGGGGGAUAACUCAGUGGUAGAGCAUUUGACUGCAUUAUGACAUACUGUCUUCUCCACAGGUGUGUGUGUGUGUGUUAUGAAGAGAGAGGGAUGGAAAUUGUGACCAGAGAGUUGGAGUUGGGACCCCUGUCUUGAUCACUUGAGCAUCAGCAGCUCCAGGGAAGAACACAUUCUGAAGGAGGAACUCUCCAGCUAGGAUUUCAUCCUGUCCUAGAGGACACGAAGAGGUGGAGACCACCCCCACAACUAAACUUGAGGAUUACUAAGGCAAUGGGGACUGCCUAGGAAUAUUUUUGAGGGGGUAAAAGCACCCCAUAAUUGUGCUAAGUAACAAAAGACAGAACAAGCAGCCUUAAAACAUUCUACAUGAUACACUGGUAUUAGAAUAAUAAGAUCUUAAAGACCAUCCACUUGAAAACUGGAUUUGCCCCUGGUCAUAUGGGCAGACCCAUGGCAGACAAAGAACUAGAAGUUCCUCCUAACUCCCAACUCAAUGUCCUUUCCUUAAAGAAUAACUGUUCUUUAUUAUAAAUAGGCCAAGCUUUUAUUAUUUAGUAUAGAACUCAGGCUGAUAUUUUUAUUGAUGGAUUAAAAUUUGAAUUAUUUCUGUA
rnacentral:lncRNA from 1 species